rnacentral:rRNA from 1 species
CCUACGGGAGGCAGCAGUGGGGAAUAUUGCACAAUGGGGGAAACCCUGAUGCAGCGACGCCGCGUGAGUGAAGAAGUAUUUCGGUAUGUAAAGCCCUGUCAGCCGGGAAGAAAAUGACGGUACCUGACCAAGAAGCCCCGGCUAACUACGUGCCAGCAGCCGCGGUAAUACGUAGGGGGCAAGCGUUAUCCGGAUUUACUGGGUGUAAAGGGAGCGUAGACGGCAGGGCAAGUCUGGUGUGAAAGGCGGGGGCACAACCCCCGGACUGCUCUGGAAACUGCCAGGCUGGAGUGCAGGAGAGGUAAGUGGAAUUCGUAGUGUAGCGGUGAAAUGCGUAGAUAUUAGGAGGAACACCAGUGGCGAAGGCGGCUUACUGGACUGUAACUGACGUUGAGGCUCGAAAGCGUGGGGAGCAAACAGGAUUAGAUACCCCAGUAGUC